rnacentral:lncRNA from 1 species
UCAUCAACACAUCCAACCACCAAAACAUCAAGCUAAUCGCUACUAAUUUCAAGAAAUUUUGGCAGAGUUUCCUUUAAAAAUAGAUAUCCAGAAAAAUCUAAACCUGUUUACAAAACUUACAAUCAUCCAUACAUAUCCAAACCACCAAAAAAACCGUCAUUCCAUACCCAAAAUCAUCAUAACCAAGUAUAAUUAGCUAACUUUACAAAAGGCAGAACACAAAAAAUACAUACAUACAGAAAAUAGAGAAACAACAUGUUGAGCAUAAGACCCUCUACUUUACAGCUUACACCAAGUAUAUUCUUUACAGCUUUCAUCAUGUAUCCUUCAAUAUAUACCUAAAAAUAUUUGAAAUUUAAAAAUUAUCAAAAUAUGUUAGUUAAAAUAAAACAAUUAUAAAUCUGAAACAUAAGACCCCUUACUUUACCUUGAGUUAUCUAAAAAACAAAUGAGCACACAUAUUUGUAUGUAGGGGGAAUGAUUUAGAUUGAUAUAAGUAAAAAUUUAGAGAGAUUGUAAGAAAUAGUCAAAUUUUUAAGGAAAAGAUACGGACUUACAAUCAAAUAAAGUUUUCUUAGUACUAUCUCUAGGAACGGUUCAUUUGCUUAAUGAUUUAAAUCAUAAAUUUGUAUUGGUGGCAGUAUAAUGGUGUGCGAGUUUGAUUUCUGUGUGUUUGUGCAUGUAUUAUGUGUGUUGUGUGUUGUGUGUCUGCAUAAGAAGUAGAGAAAUGUAGUCUUAGUAAGAGAGAUUUUCACACUAAUGUUUUCAAUUAGUUUGGUCAGUGGUAGGUUAGUAAUCAUCAAAGGUGGACAUAUCAGUACUGAAUUACAUAUCAUUUAACUCUCUUAAAUGUCUUUUUCAUCCCUUUAAACCUUCUCUUCAUCAAUAUCCUUAAUGUCCUCGUAUCAAUACGAACACACUUUGCCCAAUGAGGAGAAUGCACAAUCACCUAUAUUAAAUUAAAAUUCUUUAUUUACAUAAACAAUAAAACUAACACUAUUUAUAUUAUAAGAAUAGUAAAGUUAUUUUGAUGCAGUGACAUAAAAGUAGAUUUACCUGAUUACGUCGACCCCAUCCACAAAGGUAUAUUGUAUAUAUUUUAUUGUUCUCGUUGACAAAUUUACUCCAAUCCUACAAAGAAUGAACGUCAUUGUAAAAUUAAAAGUUGAAAUGUUGAAAAGAUUACAUAAUUUAGUAGAAAUAAACAUGUUUAAACCAUACCAUUUAAUUGUCAUAAGAAUAUAUCAUAAUAAAACUUCUGGGUAAACAAUAUUUGUGGUGCAGUUCGACCCAUCUUUCGGAAGGAGGACAGUAAUACGAUCCGCAGAUGUGCAUCUAGAUAGUGCCACAUAAAGGUGUCCAUGACUAAAAACAGGUGUUCGCAAAUCAAUCCCAACGAACUUGACAGAUUGUCCUUGGACUUUAUUGAUUGUCAUAGCAUAAGUUAAUCGGAUAGGAAACUGACGUCUUGUCAUUCGAAAAGGUAAGUCCAAAGAUGUUGGUGUCAAUGAUAUUCUCGGAAUGAAGACUAAAUUGCCAAUUUUAUCUCCAUUUAAUAUCCGAGCUUCGAUUACCCUUGAGGCACAUCUAACAACCAUCAAUCACGUGCCAUUACAAAGUCCAUCUUUCGGUGCAAUAUUUCAUAACAACAUUAUUGGACAUCCAACUUUCAACUCCAAUUUAAACGGUGGCAACCCUGAAGGAUUUAAGGAGUUUAAGUACUCGUUAGGAUAUCGAUUCCUAAUGGUAUGAUCAAGCUCAUCACCUUCAGACAUUUUAUCUGUAGCUAAAAAAGUAAUUGUUUCUCCCGGAGUAAUAUUCAGUGUUGCAACAUUUAUAUCACUGACGUCGUCAUUGCGAGCAGAUAGAAUUGUUCGUUCAGUGAGAAAGGUAGGAGUCAUUAUACCAAUCACAUCCAAUUGUGGAUAGAUUUUAAAUAUCAAUUCAUUUAGAUUAUGACAUCGAUUUAUUGUAGAUGGAAGUUGCACAAUUUCUUGUGGGUUGGUCCCAAUCUAAAAAAUGAAAGUAUAAUUAUUCACAAAAUGAGAUUUAAUUCAAAGUAUCAUGUUAUAAAAAAUCAAUGUAAUGUUGAAUGAAAUAUUACCUCCAUCAAGAAUUGAGCAAAAUUAAUAUUUAACGUCUGUGCUAGUUAAUCGAAUGUUUGAACCCAGAGUCAAAACACAUAUAUCUUUCCAUAGAAAAGACCGUCUCAAUGAUGCACCCACAAUUUGCUCGCGAACGCAUUUAGGAAUAACAGGCAAUAUUUGUUGAAAGUCUCCACCUAGGACAACAGUGAUACCUCCAAAAGGUCUUUUAUCGUCUCUGAUAUCUUGAAGGGUGCGAUCGACUACCUCAACACAAUAUCGAUGUUGCAUAGGAACUUCAUCCCAUAUUAUUAGCUUUGUUUUUCUAAACAACUCGGCAUGCAUUGAUUGUUUAGUGAACCCACAUAUUGAAUUAUCUAGGGUUUCCAAAGGAAUACAAAAUGUAGAAUGUGCAGUGCGCCCCCCUACCAAUAACAACGAUGCAAUACCAGAAGAAGCCACAGUAACAACAACAUGUCCAUAGCUACGCAAUUUGGUUGCAAUGGUAUUGUACAAAAACGUUUUUCCCGUCCCAGCACCUCCACUCAAAAAGAAAGUAGUUGCUAUGUUUUCACAUACUGACGUUGUGAUAGGAGUAUAAGCAGCAAGUUGUUCAUCAUUAAGUCUGUCAACAUUAAUUUGUGCAUCAGACUGUUGUGCUUCAUUCUCAAGUUGUUGGUGCUCAGACAGUAAUCUAUUUCCUACUAUUGCAUUACAAUUUCCAGUUGGUUGUGGCAUGAGUGGAAAGUCAACUAAACUCUUCCCCGAAUCAUGGAGUAAUUGAUUUUAUCAAAUAUAAGCCAUAAUCUUCAAUAUGAUCAUCAGUUGGAUUCAAAAUACCAAACAUAGUACGAAUCCUGUGUGCUAAAUCAUCACAUAUAUGUGCUGAGAAUUGCUUCCACAAUUCAAAUGGAUGCAACGGAAAACAUUCCGUUAGAAUUAUAACAAAUAGUCUCCUUAAUUGGUAUCCCGUUCUCAUAAUUGCAGCCUCUUGGAGACAUUGUAUCCAUUCUUCAUCAUCUUCAAGAAGUCCUCUUGAAACACAUGCUGACUUGAAUGUAUCAUGCAUAACGUUAUUUACCGUGCGUAGCCAGUCAAAUGAAGUAGGUCCUCUAACAACAGUUAAAAGCAAACGCAAAUAAAACCGCUCACCUGAAUUAGGGCUAGCAAAGUACAUUCUACCAAUUGCAUAACCCCUAUGUCUUGGAAUCCAUUUAUUGAUAGACUUGUUCCAAACAAAUUUUCCUGGAAAUUCCUGAUAAGUUAAUACACGGGAAGAUUCAUUUAUAGCGCAACAAUCAAAAAAGCCAGUUAGAGUUAUUUUUUGAUGUGCACCUCUAGAAAGGAUCAUAUCAAAAGAUUCAGCAGGGUUAAAGACUACACGAUGUAUCCUAGGCAAAUGAAGUGCCAAUCUUACAACUGAAGGAAUCUCUUCAUGUAAAGGAUUACCAAACAAUCGCCACGCGGCUUCUGGAGGUCCAAUAUACCUAGCAUCAAGAUAUUGUUGGAUCUCAUUAAUUCCUCCAAGUACCAUUGUUGCGCGAUCAUGUCCUUUAUAAAUAUACUUGUGAAUGUAUUUUACACAUCUAACUCCUGCACAAACCUCAACAUUGAUAUGACAAUUGAACAUUCUUGAUAAAUACGAAUUAUGUGGCACAACGUCUCUAUUAUCAAUUUCUUGCCCCCUCACGAUGUACUUCUGACCAGUAUUAUGACGACGAUAGACAGGAUAUCCAUCAGAGUCCAUAAUUGUUGAUUCAACAAAUGAUCGAGGGUACCGCUUGGUACACACCCCAUUUUCCAUACAUGGUGCUUGUGGAUUUCAAGCACCACAUGGUCCGUGUACCAUGCAACCUAUAAUUGUUUCAAAAAGCAAUGGGUCAGUUUGGCAAUCCGAAAAUUCAGCACACACUACUCUGUCCACUUGAGCACAUGUUUGAAUUUUAUUAGAACCAUGAAGGAACAAAAGUGCAUGCAUGUGCGGUAACCCCCUUUUUUGGAAUUCAAUUGUAAAAACAUGUGCCACUUUUCUACCAAAGACGUUGUUUGUUUCUAUCUCCUUCAUCAAAAAAUUCCGCUUCAACUCAAAAACACGGGCCACUAAAUCAGGACGGUCAGUAGGGAUCUGAUUUGGCAAUAGUGAUUUAGUAAUUUCAGGCCAUUUGGGAUUUGCAGUCAUAGUUAGAAAAAUAUCUAGGUGUUGAUUAUACCGCGUGAUAGCCAUUGAAUCUUGAAAAAAUUCAAACAUAUGUCUUGCACUACCAGUGAAUGAAGAUGGCAAAAUCAUUCGUUGACCAACUUGUUCAGGACCAAGCUCAUCUGCACAAACAUCUGUAAGACCUUGGUAAAGUUCUGCACGAAGCUUCGAUUGAUUCAACUUGUAGUAUGUCAACCGAUUUUGUUCAGUAGCGGCCCAAGCAUCUACUACAAAUUCUUGAAAUAGUUUUCCGGCUCUCAAAAUUGUUGAAUACUCAGUGUCACGUUGGAACAUACGAUAACUGUAAUAUUGCAAUUGUGUCAGUCGAGUAGAUGAAGGUCCACCUUGGGAAGCGUUCCACUGUUUCAAAUCUGGAUUCCAUCCUAGCUCACCAUAAGGGAACAAUACCACAUAAUGCAAUGGCAAAUAGGCCGGAUGACACUCAUUAAUUUGCAUCAAACCAUUAUCCCCUCUCAAAUGUAACAUAAUAUCUCUCAUUCCACUUGAUUCAGCUCCAUCUCCCGGCAAUAUUACCGCAAUCUCAUCGGUUGUUGGAAGAUUAUAUCGACGUCGGUCUGUUACUGAACUGUAGUGGAGAUAGGCCGGUAAAUUCACCCCCGUCAAUUCCAAUUCACUUAAAAUUGUGUGAGCCUGACGAAAUUUUACAGGAAAUGGAUUUACUUGCAAUAAACAAUCUUGUAUGGUUUUCAAAACAUCUCUUCUCAAGUUAGGAUUUUUGUUGCUGCGAACAUCUAAAGCUGAAUUAGGAUCAUAAAUGUACAGUUGAGAGUAAAUUGGUUUACACCCUGGUUGUGGCAUAAGCGAUCCUUUUCGAUGGCGUAAUUCCCCAUGGAUGGUGAAUGUUCUAGGCCCCCUCCCGGCAAUUAAUCUGUCAUCCAAUGUAGCACCAAGACUCGUAAACGCAUUAGCUGCAUUAUACUCUCGUGUGUGCUGACGAAACAAUUUUGAUUGUUCAUCAUUGCCGUCAUACAAUGCUUUAAGCAUUAAAGGAGGUGUAAUAAGUGGCGAUAAUCUAAUUUUUCCUUGUAAACAACAUUUACCAAAGAGAGGAUUUGAUACAGAUGAUUUUGUUAGUUUUUCAGCAAGCCAGUGUAAGGCAGAACAAUAAGGACAUGUUCGAUUCAUCAAGCCGAGGGAAUGACGAUCUGGAAUUUCAUGGUUUCGAGGAUUAAAUGCAACAUCCAUAGUAACACCUUCUACUGUGUAGGCACUACAGAUAAAAUUAUAGAUGUCAUAUAAUUUUUAAAAGGAGAACAUGAAUAAGACAGCAAGUGUAAGAAUAGAAAAUUAGAACUUAUAUCGAACACCUGGUGCCUUCAUUCGGAUUAUGCAUUUGUUGGAACAUGUUUAUCAUAUGUGAUGCCCUUGGGGAACGUGGGGAGAAUGGUUCCAAGUUUGUUGUUGUGCUUUUGUAUAGGUUUUGAGGUGGCAAGUCUUGGAGCACAGGCGAAAACCUUGAGAUAUUUGUUGGUGUGCCUUCUUCAAGAUUUUGAGGAGGAUUUUCUUGAUUCAUGAUGGCCACAGACAACCACCGUGAAACAAUUGUUGUAGUAUAUUCAUUAAGAGUUUGAAGCAAGGUAGUUGACGAUGACUCUAAAACAUUUGUUGUCACUAUACUGUCUAUUACAGGAUGUGAAAUUUUGGUAGACAAAGUACUUGGUUUAAGGCGGGACCUUUUAUUUGAUUCUCGUUCAAGGCAUGCUCGGCGAUGACGGCUUGGUGGUAAAGAAGGAAAAAAUCUAGGCUGGACGGGGAAACAAUAUUUUGAUCGCUCUCUUUCGCAACGUGCAAGUUAUCCCAAUUGACGUUUGGAGCACUCAUUUUCUUUCCCAGCAUAACACAUUUUUUGAGCAAGUCUUGCACAUUGUGGCAAUGUUGAUUUUUAUACAACAUUAUAGUUUGGUGCCUAAACCACAAACUCAUAAAAAAUUAAUUAUUAUUUUGUUGAUUUAACAUAUAUCGUAUCAUUUUGCACUUUGUAUAUAUAACAAUGUAUCAUGACAAUAAAAUGUUACAUUAUAAUUAACAUUAUAAUUAUCAUAAAGUUUUUGUGUGAUGCAAAAAUAAAACACCAUAGCCCUGCAUCCAACACAUUGUUCUAUAGUAAUACGCUCAAUCAAUAGCAUAUUGAAUUUAACAGCUUGAAAGAUAUUCUAUAAAUAAGAUCAAAACUACUUGGAAAGGUUGAGGUUUCACUAUUGAUCGAUGCUUCAAAUUAUGGAAUUUUUAAACAAAUUUAGAGUUUAAAAAAAUCGGACCCAACAAAAGAUACAAAGCAACAAAAUAACACAAAACUUAAAAUAUUUUAAAUUUAAUAACAUCCAAAUCCAUUGUAAAAAUAAAGAAAAAAUAAUAGGAUUAAAAGUGAUACCAGUUUGCAAUUUGUAUUUGUUGUUCUUUGGGUAGAGGAGGUUGAUUUGUGUUUCCCCUUAAAUUUAGCAUUCGCCAAAACAUCAGACUUUUUUUUUU